rnacentral:rRNA from 1 species
UACGUAGGGUGCGAGCGUUGUCCGGAAUUAUUGGGCGUAAAGAGCUCGUAGGCGGUUUGUCACGUCUGCUGUGAAAUCCCGAGGCUCAACCUCGGGCCUGCAGUGGGUACGGGCAGACUGGAGUGCGGUAGGGGAGAAUGAAAUUCCUGGUGUAGCGGUGGAAUGCGCAGAUAUCAGGAGGAACACCGAUGGCGAAGGCAGUUCUCUGGGCCGUAACUGACGCUGAGGAGCGAAAGCGUGGGGAGCGAACAGG